GUUUGAUCCUGGCUGAGGAUGAACGCUGGCAGCGUGCUUAACACAUGCAAGUCGAACGAUGAUCUCCAGCUUGCUGGGGGGAUUAGUGGCGAACGGGUGAGUAACACGUGAGUAACCUGCCCUUGACUCUGGGAUAAGCCUGGGAAGCUGGGUCUAAUACCGGAUAUGACCAUCUGGCGCAUGUCAUGGUGGUGGAAAGCUUUUUUGUGGUUUUGGAUGGACUCGCGGCCUAUCAGCUUGUUGGUGGGGUAAUGGCCUACCAAGGCGACGACGGGUAGCCGGCCUGAGAGGGUGACCGGCCACACUGGGACUGAGACACGGCCCAGACUCCUACGGGAGGCAGCAGUGGGGAAUAUUGCACAAUGGGCGCAAGCCUGAUGCAGCGACGCCGCGUGAGGGAUGACGGCCUUCGGGUUGUAAACCUCUUUCAGUAGGGAAGAAGCGUAAGUGACGGUACCUGCAGAAGAAGCGCCGGCUAACUACGUGCCAGCAGCCGCGGUAAUACGUAGGGCGCAAGCGUUAUCCGGAAUUAUUGGGCGUAAAGAGCUCGUAGGCGGUUUGUCGCGUCUGCUGUGAAAGACCGGGGCUCAACUCCGGUUCUGCAGUGGGUACGGGCAGACUAGAGUGCAGUAG
rnacentral:rRNA from 1 species